AAAAGCCGAGCUUCCUCGUGCUCAUCUGCUGAAGAGUGUCUUUAUGAGUUGAGGCUUCAAUGCUUUCAUGGAGAAAUUGCCUGAUUUAAGUAAAUCAUGUCACUUUCA
ensembl:lncRNA novel transcript